CGGUGGAUGAUGUGGUUUAAUUCGAUCGCAACGCGAAAACCUUACCCACCUUUGCAUGUACGGAAUCCUUUAGAGAUAGAGGAGUGCUCGAAAGAGAGCCGUAACACAGGUGCUGCAUGGCUGUCGUCAGCUCGUGUCGUGAGAUGUUGGGUUAAGUCCCGCAACGAGCGCAACCCUUGCCAUUAGUUGCUACGAAAGGGCACUCUAAUGGGACUGCCGGUGACAAACCGGAGGAAGGUGGGGAUGACGUCAAGUCCUCAUGGCCCUUAUAGGUGGGGCUACACACGUCAUACAAUGGCUGGUACAGAGGGUUGCCAACCCGCGAGGGGGAGCCAAUCCCAUAAAGCCAGUCGUAGUCCGGAUCGCAGUCUGCAACUCGACUGCGUGAAGUCGGAAUCGCUAGUAAUCGCGGAUCAGAAUGUCGCGGUGAAUACGUUCCCGGGUCUU
rnacentral:rRNA from 1 species